GUGCUUGUUUCAGCAGCAUAUGUACUAGAAAACUGGAAUGAUAGAGAGAAGAUUAGCAUGGCCCCUGUGCAAGGGUGAGACACAAAUUCAUGAAGCGUUCCAUAUAAAA